UUUGAAUAUUAAAAUUUCAUAUUUAACGCUCGAGUUACGAGAGGUUGAUGCUAAAUUAGAACGAAUUUUCCUUAAUUUUAACCGUUUCGAAUAUAUUUACUUGCCUUUUCUAAUGUUUUAUUACGUCAAAAAAUUAAUAAUAUAACCAUUAUUCAGUAUAUAGAUAAUGCCGAUACGUGUAUUGAAAAAUAUUACGGUUUUAACUCCGCAGUCGGUUCGCUUGAAAAACUGGGAGGAUGUAAAGGAAGAUUAAAUGUUAACAGUUUCAUCGAUUGUAUGGACCAAACAGAUAUAUUGAAUGCAUACUUACAAGAAUCAAGAACAGAGCUGUUAAACAGAGAAUCCAUAGCUGAAUAUUGUCUUUCUCUAAUUAAACAUCUAUCAUAAUUUUUAUACAUGUUCGUGUUAAUAUUGUACACUUAAAUAUUUUCUAUUUUGUAAUAA